GAUGAACGCUGGCGGCGCGCCUAAUACAUGCAAGUCGAGCGAACAGACGAGGAGCUUGCUCCUCUGACGUUAGCGGCGGACGGGUGAGUAACACGUGGAUAACCUACCUAUAAGACUGGGAUAACUUCGGGAAACCGGAGCUAAUACCGGAUAAUAUAUUGAACCGCAUGGUUCAAUAGUGAAAGACGGUUUUGCUGUCACUUAUAGAUGGAUCCGCGCCGCAUUAGCUAGUUGGUAAGGUAACGGCUUACCAAGGCAACGAUGCGUAGCCGACCUGAGAGGGUGAUCGGCCACACUGGAACUGAGACACGGUCCAGACUCCUACGGGAGGCAGCAGUAGGGAAUCUUCCGCAAUGGGCGAAAGCCUGACGGAGCAACGCCGCGUGAGUGAUGAAGGUCUUCGGAUCGUAAAACUCUGUUAUUAGGGAAGAACAAAUGUGUAAGUAACUAUGCACGUCUUGACGGUACCUAAUCAGAAAGCCACGGCUAACUACGU
rnacentral:rRNA from 1 species